rnacentral:rRNA from 1 species
ACGGGAGGCAGCAGUGAGGAAUAUUGGUCAAUGGGCGGAAGCCUGAACCAGCCAAGUCGCGUGAAGGAUGAAGGUAUUAUGUAUUGUAAACUUCUUUAGUCGUAGAGAGAUAAGGUGCUCGUGAGCACUGAUGCUAGUAUACGAAGAAUAAGGAUCGGCUAACUCCGUGCCAGCAGCCGCGGUAAUACGGAGGAUCCGAGCGUUAUCCGGAUUUAUUGGGUUUAAAGGGUGCGUAGGCGGGAAGUCAAGUCAGCCGUAAAAUCGCCGGGCUCAACCCGGUCCCGCGGUUGAAACUGUCUUCCUUGAGUACACUAGAGGGCGAUGGAAUUCGUGGUGUAGCGGUGAAAUGCAUAGAUAUCACGAAGAACUCCGAUUGCGUAGGCAGUCGCCUGGGGUGCCACUGACGCUGAGGCACGAAGGUGCGGGUAUCAAACAGGAUUAGAUACCCUGGUA